rnacentral:rRNA from 1 species
GACAGAGGGGGCAAGCGUUGCUCGGAAUUACUGGGCGUAAAGGGCGCGUAGGCGGGAUGGCAAGUCGGUCGUGAAAUCCCUCGGCUCAACCGAGGAACGUCGAUCGAUACUGCUGUUCUUGAGGAUUGCAGAGGAGACUGGAAUUCCCGGUGUAGCGGUGAAAUGUGUAGAGAUCGGGAGGAACACCGGUGGCGAAGGCGGGUCUCUGGACAGUUCCUGACACUGAGGCACGAAGGCCAGGGGAGCAAACGGG